CUAAUCUAUAACAUACUUAAAAAGAAGCCCCAAAGGGCUUCCUCAUUAACCCACGUGUCAAUUGAGCCCAUGCCCACGUUUUGAAUCUCUAAACCAUUUGUGAGUCCAACUUUACAAAAAGAAGCAAUCAACCCACGUUUCUGCAUCCUUGAAAUUCAUAUAUGUUUUCUUCAUAACUAGAGAAGCUACAUUUUCUAGGAAUGAGUUUUUUACCUGUGAAACUUGAAGGAAGGGCUUUGAAAUCUCUAGCAUGGUUCUGAAACAAAAUCCAAUUUGCCUACGAUAUGCGUUUAUCAAUAUCAAAUUCUCUGUUGGUACAAGUUGCUGCUGGAAAGUGUAAUGUCUUAUGAUUAUAUUAAGUUUAGUUACAAUAUUUGAUUAUUUGCUCUGUAGUUUUAAUUUAUUCAUCUCUUUUCUUGCUUAAGUCUUGA